AUUGAACGCUGGCGGCAGGCCUAACACAUGCAAGUCGAGCGGAGCGGCGGACGGGUGAGUUAUGCCUAGGAAUCUGACUGGUCGUGGGGGAUAACGUUCGGAAACGGGAGCUAAUACCGCAUCCUAUCAGAUGAGCCUAGGUCGGAUUAGCAAGUUGUUGGGGUAAAGGCCUACCAAGGCGACGAUCCGUAUCUGGUCUGAGAGGAUGACCAGUCACACUGGAACUGAGACACGGUCCAGACUCCUACGGGAGGCAGCAGUGGGGAAGAUUGGACAAUGGGCGAAAGCCUGAUACAGCCAGGCCGCGUGUAUGAAGAAGGUCUUCGGAUUGUAAAGCACUUUAAGUUGGGAGGCGUUACCAGCAGAAUAAGCACCGGCUAACUUCGUGCCAGCAGCCGCGGUAAUAC
rnacentral:rRNA from 1 species